GGGGCUGUGGCUCAGUGGUAGAGCGCUUACCUGGCACAUGAGGCACUGGGUUCAAUCCUCAGCACCA
rnacentral:tRNA from 1 species